CAUAAGCUUGUUGGUACUCAUAUUUAUCCUAAAGCUUGUGGGUUGUUAGGAUUGUUGAUUUCGGUCUUUCUUUUCUUGUAGGGGAAACCUAAUGCGGCCUCCUGCGUAACUUUUUUGCUAGUGUUUUAUGUGGAACUGUCAAGAUUGGCCGACCUGGGUACCGAGUAACUAAGCAAUUUGAUCCCGAGACAAAGCAGAGGUCUCUUCUUUUCCAGAUAGAGUAUCCUGAGAUUGAGGACAACUCAAAGCCAAGGCACCGGUUUAUGUCUUCCUUUGAGCAGAGGGUUGAAGCUUUUGACAAACGGUUCCAAUAUCUCAUGUUUGCUGCAGAGCCUUAUGAAAUUAUAGCUUUCAAGGUUCCUAGCACAGAGAUUGACAAGUCUACCUCCAAAUUCUUCUCACAUUGGGAUCCCGACUCCAAGAUGUUCACGUUGCAGUUAUAUUUCAAGGCCAAGCCACCAGAGGGAG